AAUCAACGCUGGCGGCGUGCCUCAGACAUGCAAGUCGAACGCGAAAGUCUCCUUCGGGGGACAAGUAGAGUGGCGCACGGGUGAGUAACACGUAGGUAAUCUACCUUUGGAUGGGGAAUAACAACCGGAAACGGUUGCUAAUACCGCAUAAUGCAGCGGCACCUAAUGGUGACAGUUGUUAAAGCGGGGGAUCGAAAGACCUCGCGUCUGAAGAGGAGCCUGCGGCGGAUUAGCUAGUGGUAAGGUAAUGGCUUACCAAGGCUACGAUCCGUAACCGGCCUGAGAGGGCGGGUCGGUCACACUGACACUGACAUACGGGUCAGACUCCUACGGGAGGCAGCAGUCGGGAAUUUUGGGCAAUGGGCGAAAGCCUGACCCAGCAACGCCGCGUGAAGGAUGAAAUCCCUCGGGAUGUAAACUUCGCAAGAACGGGAAGAAUAAGCGAGAGUAAAUAUCUUUCGCGAUGACGGUACCGUUUGUAAGCUCCGGCUAACUCCGUGCCAGCA
rnacentral:rRNA from 1 species